GUUUUAAUAGUUUAAAGAAAACCUCGGUCUUGUAAACCGAAAUUGAAAGUUAUUUCUUGAAACU
rnacentral:tRNA from 1 species